rnacentral:rRNA from 1 species
CAUAUGCUUGUCUUAAAGAUUAAGCCAUGCAUGUCUAAGUAUAAGCUUUUAUACGGCUAAACUGCGAAUGGCUCAUUAAAACAGUUAUAGUUUAUUUGAUGGUCUUUACUACAUGGAUAACCGUGGUAAUUCUAUGGCUAAUACAUGCGCACAUGCCUCUUCCCCUGGAAGGGCAGUGUUUAUUAGAUACAGAACCAACCCACCUUCCGGUGGUCCUCAGGUGAUUCAUAGUAACCGAACGGAUCGCGUUGACUUCGGUCUGCGACGGAUCAUUCAAGUUUCUGACCUAUCAGCUUUCGACGGUACUGUAUUGGACUACCGUGGCAGUGACGGGUAACGGGGAAUUAGGGUUCGAUUCCGGAGAGGGAGCCUGAGAAACGGCUACCACAUCUAAGGAAGGCAGCAGGCGCGCAAAUUACCCAAUCCUGAUUCAGGGAGGUAGUGACAAGAAAUAACAACACUGGAAAUUUCAUUUCUAGUGAUUGGAAUGAUAGGAAUCCAAACCCCUUUCAGAGUAACAAUUG